AUGAGUCGUAGGUAUUUGAAUCUGAUAGUGCACGACUUCAGUAGUCGCAUCUAUUCGCUGUGCCGCAUCGAUGUCCGCAAGCACCUCUUCUACGAAGACUCUGAAAUGGCACAACGAGCAGCACACCCCGCAGGAGAGAAGUUGAAGAACAUUCGUGGAGUGUUGGCAGCGAUGGGCGGCUGGAAAAGAUUACCUCCGCCGGCAAUAAAUUUCCAGGCAUCGCCCAGUAUCGUAAACAAGACUUCGGUGCAUUUGUUCGCUUUACUGGGAGGGGAGAGCAACAUCCUUUACUCUGACAAUAAUUGUCAGACCACACUCUGCAACAUUGACUUGAAAAUCGUCGAUCCCUUCGCUCCUCCCAAUUCAUGCAAGAGUGCAAAUGCCAUCAGUCUCCCCAUAACCCAGGCCCAUCUUGAACCUCCCUCAUUGUACGUCUUGGAUCUCCCCUCCACUCCCAGAACCGCUUGCUCCUUUGAGGUCCUCUCGCUCCGCGAGAACAAACCGGCUCUUCCUAGGGAAUGGAGCUGGGAAAUUCUGCCGCUGCCACCAUUUUUCUGCAAUCGAAAAAUAGCCCCCGACUUGUAUUCUUAUGCUGUGGUUAAUGGUUCUACCAUAUGCAUUUCAUCUCUGAAUCAGACUAUAGGCACCUACACCUUUGACACAGUGAGCAAGGAAUGGAGCCAAGCUGCGCGCUGGGCACUGCCCUUCUUUGGCAAAGCUGAGUUUGUCCCUGAGCUCAACCUCUGGUUUGGCCUCUCAGCCUGCAACCCCUUCUCCAGCUUAUGUGCUGUCGAUCUCUCUGGAGUAGACUCUGGGCAGUCAGCAAAGUUGCAGCAUACAUGGGAUUAUCUUGAUCUGCCUGAGGACGAGCCGUGGUUGCCAUCCCAGCUGCACCUGUUCAACCUUGGCUUAGGCAAGUUUUGUGUUGCCACCUUCUUCGGGACCGAGUUGCGCACCUGUGAUAUGUCACCCUAUUCUACAGAUUCAGAUUAUGAGGACACAUAUGGAAGGGAGUUUGCUGUCUUCACCGGCCUGGAGGUGAAGCGCAGAAACGAUGGUGAGGGUCCUCUCCAGUUGAUCAGGCACAUGUCCAAACGUUUCAGCAUUGGAAGCCGUAACAUCGAGUGUGUGCUCUAA
rnacentral:rRNA from 1 species